GUGUUCAAGGCAUGUUUCUUUCAUGACUCAAGAUCCAUAUAUCACUAUUUUUCCCAAUACAAGGUUCAUCCACAUGGAAGUUUUCAAAAUAGUUCAUUCAAUGGUAUUCAAACUUCGUACAAAUUCUAUCCAAUCAAUUCCAUUUCAAUUUUAUUCCAUUACAAAACUCAUGCCAUUAUAAAGUUACAAAGAAAGCUACCAAUUUGGCUCAUCCAAAAUACACAUCAUAUCCAAUCACCAUUACAAGUCCAAAACUUACACUUCAAGACAAUAUUCAUCCAAACCCUUUCAAGAACACUCAAUUUUCUAAAUAUAUUACAAAUCAUUCAUAAUACUUUACAGAGAAAACAUAGUCAUAAGCCUAAUCCUCUAAACCUGUAA